ACACAUCUAUCUUAUAAAUUCCCAAAUUGAACUCUAGUUACAUAAAUAGAUUGCAAUUUUAGUUUUUUAUAUAACUUACAAAGUAGAAAAAUAAUAUUAAUGAUAUGCCAUGAAAUGAGAUUUUUGUCAAAUAAAUUUAGACAUUCGUGACAUUAAGUGCAGAGUGUCUUUUCAAUUAUUAUAUAGCAUAUUUUAUGAUUUGUUUGUGUUUGCAUUUUAAAUAAAGGUUUGCAGAAACCAGACAGAGAGCCUGGGUGGAGAUGCUAUUGGCUGCCUAGGUCGGACUGCCUCCAAUCUGAGGUGAUCUUGGAGUGAUCUAACAUUAGAAUGAAUGGUUACGCUAGGAAUCAGACAAAGACUGGAGGUGAACAGUUUGGUAAAGUGAAGUCAAAAUGGAAAUCGUGCUGGCAGUCAUGAGGAACAAGGCCAAGCAUUGGGUCCAUCCAUGGCCAGGAGACAGAGACUGAGACAUCUGAGCAACUGCUUUCACAUAAGACAGCCUGCUUCUGGACAUGGGGAAGCCAGAGAAAGAGGAGGUUGAGG